rnacentral:rRNA from 1 species
AGUGAACGCUGGCGGUAGGCCUAACACAUGCAAGUCGAACGGCAGCACAGUAAGAGCUUGCUCUUACGGGUGGCGAGUGGCGGACGGGUGAGGAAUACAUCGGAAUCUACUUUUUCGUGGGGGAUAACGUAGGGAAACUUACGCUAAUACCGCAUACGACCUACGGGUGAAAGCAGGGGAUCUUCGGACCUUGCGCGAUUGAAUGAGCCGAUGUCGGAUUAGCUAGUUGGCGGGGUAAAGGCCCACCAAGGCGACGAUCCGUAGCUGGUCUGAGAGGAUGAUCAGCCACACUGGAACUGAGACACGGUCCAGACUCCUACGGGAGGCAGCAGUGGGGAAUAUUGGACAAGGGGCGCAAGCCUGAUCCAGCCAUACCGCGUGGGUGAAGAAGGCCUUCGGGUUGUAAAGCCCUUUUGUUGGGAAAGAAAAGCAGCAGGUUAAUACCCCGCUGUUCUGACGGUACCCAAAGAAUAAGCACCGGCUAACUUCG